GAUGAACGCUGGCGGCGUGCCUAAUACAUGCAAGUCGAGCGAACAGACGAGGAGCUUGCUCCUCUGACGUUAGCGGCGGACGGGUGAGUAACACGUGGAUAACCUACCUAUAAGACUGGGAUAACUUCGGGAAACCGGAGCUAAUACCGGAUAAUAUCUUGAACCGCAUGGUUCAAUAGUGAAAGACGGUUUUGCUGUCACUUAUAGAUGUAUCCGCGCCGCAUUAGCUAGUUGGUAAGGUAACGGCUUACCAAGGCAACGAUGCGUAGCCGACCUGAGAGGGUGAUCGGCCACACUGGAACUGAGACACGGUCCAGACUCCUACGGGAGGCAGCAGUAGGGAAUCUUCCGCAAUGGGCGAAAGCCUGACGGAGCAACGCCGCGUGAGUGAUGAAGGUCUUCGGAUCGUAAAACUCUGUUAUUAGGGAAGAACAAAUGUGUAAGUAACUAUGCACGUCUUGACGGUACAUAAUCAGAAAGCCACGGCUAACUACGUG
rnacentral:rRNA from 1 species